rnacentral:lncRNA from 1 species
CCAGCCAUCAACCUUCAGCAGCGCCAAUCGGACUUCAACAGUACCAACUAGACCCCUCCAACAGACAAAUUCUCUCCGGACCCCUCCAGCAGUAGACCUUCCACAGUGUCCUCCAGACUCUUCCAGUGGACGAACUUCCACAACGCCUUCCAGACUCUUCUAUCGGUCAACCUUCUAUAGUGCCUUUCGAAUUUCGCUGUCGGUUGA